rnacentral:rRNA from 1 species
AUUGAACGCUGGCGGAAUGCUCUACACAUGCAAGUCGAACGGCAGCACGGACUUCGGUCUGGUGGCGAGUGGCGAACGGGUGAGUAAUGUAUCGGAACGUGCCCAGUCGUGGGGGAUAACGUAGUGAAAAUUACGCUAAUACCGCAUACGAUCUAUGGAUGAAAGCGGGGGAUCGCAAGACCUCGCGCGAUUGGAGCGGCCGAUAUCAGAUUAGGUAGUUGGUGGGGUAAAGGCCCACCAAGCCAACGAUCUGUAGCUGGUCUGAGAGGACGACCAGCCACACUGGAACUGAGACACGGUCCAGACUCCUACGGGAGGCAGCAGUGGGGAAUUUUGGACAAUGGGCGAAAGCCUGAUUCAGCCAUUCCGCGUGCAGGGUGAAGGCCCUCGGGUUGUAAACUGCUUUUGUACAGAACGAAAAGGUUUCUACUAAUACUAGGAGCUCAUGACGGUACUGUAAGAAUAAGCACCGGCUAACUACGUGCCAGCCGCCGCGGUAA